UACGUAGGGGGCUAGCGUUGUCCGGAAUCAUUGGGCGUAAAGAGCGUGUAGGCGGCCAGACAGGUCCGUUGUGAAACUCGAGGCUCAACCUCGAGAUGUCGAUGGAAACCGUCUGGCUAGAGUCCGGAAGAGGCAAGUGGAAUUCCCGGUGUAGCGGUGAAAUGCGCAGAUAUCGGGAGGAACACCAAUGGCGAAGGCAGCUUGCUGGGACGGUAGUGACGCUGAGGCGCGAAAGCGUGGGAGCAACAGGAUAGAAACCUUGUAG
rnacentral:rRNA from 1 species